CAAUACCCGCCGGCGACCGGCGCACGGGUGAGUAACACGUAUCCAACCUGCCGAUAACUCGGGGAUAGCCUUUCGAAAGAAAGAUUAAUACCCGAUGGUAUAAUCAGACCGCAUGGUCUUGUUAUUAAAGAAUUUCGGUUAUCGAUGGGGAUGCGUUCCAUUAGGCAGUUGGUGAGGUAACGGCUCACCAAACCUUCGAUGGAUAGGGGUUCUGAGAGGAAGGUCCCCCACAUUGGAACUGAGACACGGUCCAA
rnacentral:rRNA from 1 species